UACGGAGGGGGGCUAGCGUUGUUCGGAAUUACUGGGCGUAAAGCGUGCGCAGGCGGCUUUCCAAGUCAGUGGUGAAAGCCCGGAGCUCAACUCCGGAAAUGCCAUUGAAACUGUGAAGCUUGAGAACGAGAGAGGUGAGUGGAAUUCCCAGUGUAGAGGUGAAAUUCGUAGAUAUUGGGAAGAACACCAGUGGCGAAGGCGGCUCACUGGCUCGUAACUGACGCUCAUGCACGACAGCGUGGGGGAUCAAAACAGG
rnacentral:rRNA from 1 species